UACUGACGCUGAGCUCGAAAGCGUGGGGAGCAAACAGGAUUAGAUACCUGGUAGUCCACGCCGUAAACGAUGAGUGCUAAGUGUUAGGGGGUUCCGCCCCUUAGUGCUGCAGCUAACGCAUUAAGCACUCCGCUGGGGAGUACGACCGCAAGGUUGAGACUCAAAGGAAUUGACGGGGGCCCGCACAAGCGGUGGAGCAUGUGGUUUAAUUCGAAGCAACGCGAAGAACCUUACCAGGUCUUGACAUCCUUUGACAACUCUAGAGAUAGAGCUUUCCCUUCGGGGACAAAGUGACAGGUGGUGCAUGGUUGUCGUCAGCUCGUGUCGUGAGAUGUUGGGUUAAGUCCCGCAACGAGCGCAACCCUUAUUGUUAGUUGCCAUCAUUCAGUUGGGCACUCUAGCGAAACUGCCGGUGACAAACCGGAGGAAGGUGGGGAUGACGUCAAAUCAUCAUGCCCCUUAUGACCUGGGCUACACACGUGCUACAAUGGACAGUACAAUGAGCAGCAACACGGCGACGUGAAGCGAAUCUCAUAAAGCUGUUCUCAGUUCGGAUUGUAGGCUGCAACUCGCCUACAUGAAGCCGGAAUCGCUAGUAAUCGCGGAUCAGCACGCCGCGGUGAAUACGUUCCCGGGCCUUGUACACACCGCCCGUCAUACCACGAAAGUUUGUAACACCCAAAGUCGGUGAGGUAACCUUCGGGAGCCAGCCGCCUAAGGUGGGAUAGAUGAUUGGGGUGAAGUCGUAACAAGGUAACCA
rnacentral:rRNA from 1 species